AAAAAUAGGGCAAAUCUCCAAAAUAUCACCUUUCUAAGUUUAUAUCACAAAAAUAGCACUCAAAAACUAAAAUGACCAAAAUAGCACCUUUCUAAGUUUAUCCUUUGAAAAUUUUAAUUUUUUUAUUUUUCAAAAUUUGAAAUCUUAUCUCCAAAACUUCAUUUCUCAACCAUAAACCCUAAACCCUAAACUCUAAACCCUAAACCCUAAACUUUAAACCCUAAACCCUAAACCCUAAACCCUAAAAUCUAAACCCUAAACCUUAGACUCUAAACCCUAAACCCUAAAUCCUAAACCUCACCCUUUAACUCUAAACCCUAAGUUUGUGAUUUUUGAUAAAACAUUAAGUGCUAUUUUUGUGACUUUUGACCUUGAAUGCUAGUUUGGGAACAU
rnacentral:lncRNA from 1 species